rnacentral:rRNA from 1 species
UACGGGGGGCGCAAGCGUUGUUCGGAUUUACUGGGCGUAAAGGGCGCGUAGGCGGUCAGCACAAGUCAGUUGUGAAAUCUCCGGGCUUAACUCGGAAAGGUCAACUGAUACUGUGCGACUAGAGUGCGGAAGGGGCAACUGGAAUUCUUGGUGUAGCGGUGAAAUGCGUAGAUAUCAAGAGGAACACCUGCGGCGAAGGCGGGUUGCUGGGCCGACACUGACGCUGAGGCGCGAAAGCCAGGGGAGCGAACGGG